UCCAGCCUGGGCGACAAAGCUAGACUCCCCGUAUCAAAAAAAAAAAAAAAAGAAAAAAUUAAUGCUUUAUUGGUAGCCUUGACCUCAUCCUCUCAGCCUCCUAUGGACUGUCAACUUGACUGUGAUAGUAAAUUAGUUGCUGAAUUAGAAUUUUCUCGUGAAACUUAUACAGAGGUUGUUUUUCCUACCUGUAAAAGUGUGUGUUAACAGACAGUUAAAAUCUAAAUUCUGAAUUCUGAUAGCAGGGGCCCAGUUGGUGAAAAGGGGGAAUAAAGUUUCCUUCCUUUUCUGUGAUAUGAAAUCAGGUGAAACUGAUCUUUCGUAGCUCAUCAUCUCUCCUUGCACCUCUCUCAUCUCCUAAUAACCCUCCUCAUCUUAUUGCAGGAUAAACUAUCCUUUGUUUUCAUGGUAGAAGAAAAUUUAUAUACCAUUGAUAUCUCCUUCAGUUGAAGGAAUCAAGGAUAUUUAUGUAUCUUUGGGUAUGAAAGGCUAUUUUUGUUUUUGUUUUAUUUUAUUUAUUUAUUUGAGACAGAGCCUCGCUCUGUUGCCCAGGCUGGAGUGCAGUGGAAUAAUCUCGGCUCACUGCAACCUCCGCCUCCGGGUUGCCUCUGCAUUUCAGCCUGGGCAACAAGAGUGAAACUACAUCUCAAAAAAAAAAAAAAGGAUGUACAAUGUCCAGUAGCUUAAGAUAAGUGAAUUCUCCUGCCUCAACCUCCUUACUAGGACUUCAGGCGCGUCCCACCAUGCCCAGCUUAUUUUCUGUGUUUUUAGUAGAUGGUCUCGAUCUCCUGACCUCGUGAUCCACCUGCCUUCGGGCUCCCAGAGUGUUGGCAUUACAGGCAUGAGCCACCACGCUCAGCCUAUGUUUAAAUUUUUGAGGAACACUGGUAAACUAAAUACAUUUUAACAUCACAGAAUUGCCUUGCUGACCAUCUGAUCCCUGGCUAACUCCUCCAGGUUAUUUUCUCAUUGCUGGACUUCUUUCCUUCUGAAUCUAGAAAUACCCUAGAAACUGUUCCAAAUGGAAAAGAAAGUAUGCUUGUAUUGUGAGAUGAGAUGGUGGAGGAGGCAGAAUUGUGUAAACACAAAUUAUGUGUAACUCAGGAACUACUUGUUUUGUUAACUUGAAUUAUAAAAAUGUCAAAUUCAAUAACAAUUUAAGAUUUAUAAAAGGUGUUGAAUUUACUGAAGGUCCACUGUUAAGAUUUUAGAAUUCAUUUUCUAAAGCAGGGUUUAUAAUAAUGUGGGCUUAGUGUAGAACUGGCUACAUAAAUUUUAAAUUCCCUCGUUAAAGGAAUAGAUUAUGUGGCAUCAGUAAACAUAGUUUCUGAAUUUAGUAAUGGUAAAAAGGGACAAAGUGGGACGAUUGGUAGAAGCAACCUACAUACUUUAUGAAAAUCAGAUGCACAUUUAUCAAAGGAGGCCACAUGUUCUAUUCAGGCUCCAUUUAAUUAGAAUUAGAUCAUCUUGAACAUUAACAAUACUUUAAGGCACGGGGGGAGGUGGAGAAGGAUCGGGG